CAAGAUGCUCAGUUAAAAUUGAACUUCAGACCAGCAAAGAAUCAUGUUGAGGCUAAGAAUGUCCCACAUAAUAUUUAGGACAUCCUUAUGCUAAAAAGUUAUUCAUUGUUGAUCUGAAAUUCAAAUUUAACUGGGCAUUCUU
rnacentral:miRNA from 1 species